GAAAACAAAGUGACGGCGACGAGCAGAGCCGUGGCUCGCGUCCGUUUGCGAAAAUUGUGCGUGGAUCAGAUAGGUGUACGCGUCGUUGGCUCGAAAAUAGCGCCGUCAUGGGUGGUCAGUAAUUGUUGACACUUUGACCUUUCAGCACGCAGCGGAAGGCGAAAAAAUGGCGGCGGCUAGCAAUAUGGGAGAAGGCGCCUCCCUGCCCGACAGCGGACUCGAGUUUCUACUGGAUCCGGUUGAUAGAUAAUUGCUCUGUCCUACUCUUUUGUUCUUUCUUCCUGCAGCCGCGCGAGCGGAUUAUGGCGACAACGGGCCUUUGAUUUCUAGAGCAUGCUGUAAGUUUCCGCUGAGAGAGGCGAUUGCAUAAGUGGGACAGCCAGAUCCGUUGGUGUCAAGGGGCAUCGUGCCGUCGGCUAAGGCUGAUGCCGACUUCUCCUGCACGGUUGUGGUUGGACACCUCGGCGGCGCUGCUGAGCGCGGCGGCAAGAAGAAAGAGUCGCCAACCCAGUCCGUGAAAUCGACCGGGAAGGUGAACUCAGAGGCGCCGGGGUGGACCAGAAGGGUGAGAGUUGGCCGUGCACCUCUGCAUAGGGCACCCUGCCCUGGUAGAGUCACUCUACUGGAAGAAACAAUCCGGAGGCCAAGUCCUUCCAAACAAAACAGCAAACCAAGUCUUCCAAGCAAACCAGCAGGAAGCAAGAAACCAGGCAGUAGUUUGUAAUCCUGUUGAGUUUACUGAAAUGGGCAUCAUGUUUACUGAAUGCGCAUCAUGUUUCAGAAUUUGGAGGGUUCUCUCUCGCUGUACACUGAAUCUUGUGUCUUCUGUACACUUUCUGAAUGAGCAAGAAACCAAGCAAAACGUUGA